rnacentral:misc_RNA from 1 species
CAAUCCUGUCACUUGUUCCUAGACGAGGUUCAUGCAAUAUAACCUUGGCACCUGAGAUCUGAUUAAGGAACACCAGAUGAUGAGCUGACGUUGGCUUUAAAAAUAUAUACUGUGUAAAAUGGCUUAAGGGUGAAACAGUCUUUGAACAAUUAGACUUAAUUAUUAUUAAAAGAAGAUUCAGGAAUAAAUUAAAUAUAAAAAUUGCAUAUAUUGUCAUCAGGAGGACAGGACUUAUUUCAAUGCUCAAAUACCAUCCAUAAGAGGCUUAGAAGUUUCAGAAUGAUUUCAUGUUUCUUGAUGCAAAUAAAAUCCCAAACAUUAAGAUAAAAGUUCCUAAGUUGUGGUUCCUUUUGUUUUCCCCAUUGACAAUUUACAAUUAGAAUUGCAAGUCUUUCAUUUAAAUUUCUAUUUUUACUUCAUACAUUUCAAAGUAUAUAUGUAGAACAAUGUGAUUAACGGUUCACUGGGCCUGUUUCGAAGGAUUUUCAAUUGGUUUCCAGGAAUGAGGUUUGUUUGGUAGACAGAUAGCUGAAAUUGCAGUUGUUCUAGAGUUGUAGUGGACUAUAAAGUUAAUCGGUUCUAAUGGUUUUGGAUUUAGGAAGGCUAUCAGUUUGAUUGUAUAAUUGUUUUAUCGUUUCGCUUCACAAUUUUGGCUACAGAUAAUGGAAUAAUAAGUUUUAUUAUCUUGAGAGUAAAUAUGAUUCAUGUUUUCAUCUUUUCAUUGACUAACAAAUUUGAAUUUACUUUACUUAAAAUAUGGAAAUCUUUAUAUACCAAAAUUUAUAAGGUGUGUAAAUGAUUUUCCUCCAAGUUCUUAUGUUGAUCACGUCUUUGCUUCUGAUUUAAAUGGUAACAAAUUACGGCUAUCCAUGCUAUCAAAAAAAAUUCUCAAAGAUUUCUUUUCAUAAUUCAGAGUGUAUUCAUAGAAGAUAGUGCAAAAAAACCAAAUUAGCCAGAAUUGCAUAAUUUUAAAAUAUGAGAAGAAACUUUUUCUCUUUUUUGGUUGGUGUGUGUGUCUAUGUAAAAUGUAACUUACAACCAAAUAACAAAGAUAAAUGAUUAGCAUUUAAAGCAGAAAAAAGGGAGGAAUUCUGAUAAAGGAAUCUUGGGCUUGAUCCCGGAUAAAAAAGAGGGAAGGGGAGAGGAGUUGGGGGGGAGCUAAGGGAUGUCAAUUGUCAAGAAAACACAUUAAUUAUUUGUGAAAUUGUUAGCAUCAGAUAAAGCAAAAGUAAGCAAGCAAAGAAGAGUUGGAUACUAACAGCAGAAUUAUCAGAAGCUAUCGGAUGUCAAGUAUAAAGAUGAAUUCAUAUUGAUUAACUAAUGCAAUUAAAAUAGAAGCAAAACUAUAAGACAAAAUCAGACAGCAAGUAGGUACCUGUCUUAAACGAGCCAGAUUGCU